UACGGGGGGGGUAAGCGUUGUUCGGAAUUACUGGGCGUAAAGGGCGCGUAGGCGGUCAGCACAAGUCAGUUGUGAAAUCUCCGGGCUUAACUCGGAAAGGUCAACUGAUACUGUGCGACUAGAGUGCAGAAGGGGCAACUGGAAUUCUCGGUGUAGCGGUGAAAUGCGUAGAUAUCGAGAGGAACACCUGCGGCGAAGGCGGGUGCUGGGCUGACACUGACGCUGAUGCGCGAAAGCCAGGGGAGCGAACGGG
rnacentral:rRNA from 1 species